rnacentral:rRNA from 1 species
GGUUAAGCGACUAAGCGUACACGGUGGAUGCCCUGGCAGUCAGAGGCGAUGAAGGACGUGCUAAUCUGCGAAAAGCGUCGGUAAGGUGAUAUGAACCGUUACAGCCGGCGAUGUCCGAAUGGGGAAACCCAGUGUGAUUCGUCACACUAUCGUUAACUGAAUACAUAGGUUAACGAGGCGAACCGGGGGAACUGAAACAUCUAAGUACCCCGAGGAAAAGAAAUCAACCGAGAUUCCCCCAGUAGCGGCGAGCGAACGGGGAGCAGCCCAGAGUCUGAAUCAGCUUGUGUGUUAGUGGAACGGUCUGGAAAGUCCGACGGUACAGGGUGAUAGUCCCGUACACCAAAAUGCACAGGCUGUGAACUCGAAGAGUAGGGCGGGACACGUGGUAUCCUGUCUGAAUAUGGGGGGACCAUCCUCCAAGGCUAAAUACUCCUGACUGACCGAUAGUGAACCAGUACCGUGAGGGAAAGGCGAAAAGAACCCCGGCGAGGGGAGUGAAAAAGAACCUGAAACCGUGUACGUACAAGCAGUGGGAGCACCUUCGGGUGUGACUGCGUACCUUUUGUAUAAUGGGUCAGCGACUUAUAUUCUGUAGCAAGGUUAACCGUAUAGGGGAGCCGCAGGGAAACCGAGUCUUAACUGGGCGUUAAGUUGCAGGGUAUAGACCCGAAACCCGGUGAUCUAGCCAUGGGCAGGUUGAAGGUUGGGUAACACUAACUGGAGGACCGAACCGACUAAUGUUGAAAAAUUAGCGGAUGACUUGUGGCUGGGGGUGAAAGGCCAAUCAAACCGGGAGAUAGCUGGUUCUCCCCGAAAGCUAUUUAGGUAGCGCCUCGUGAAUUCAUCUUCGGGGGUAGAGCACUGUUUCGGCUAGGGGGUCAUCCCGACUUACCAACCCGAUGCAAACUACGAAUACCGAAGAAUGUUAUCACGGGAGACACACGGCGGGUGCUAACGUCCGUCGUGAAGAGGGAAACAACCCAGACCGCCAGCUAAGGUCCCAAAGUCAUGGUUAAGUGGGAAACGAUGUGGGAAGGCACAGACAGCCAGGAUGUUGGCUUAGAAGCAGCCAUCAUUUAAAGAAAGCGUAAUAGCUCACUGGUCGAGUCGGCCUGCGCGGAAGAUGUAACGGGGCUAAACCAUGCACCGAAGCUGCGGCAGCGACACUAUGUGUUGUUGGGUAGGGGAGCGUUCUGUAAGCCUGCGAAGGUGUGCUGUGAGGCAUGCUGGAGGUAUCAGAAGUGCGAAUGCUGACAUAAGUAACGAUAAAGCGGGUGAAAAGCCCGCUCGCCGGAAGACCAAGGGUUCCUGUCCAACGUUAAUCGGGGCAGGGUGAGUCGACCCCUAAGGCGAGGCCGAAAGGCGUAGUCGAUGGGAAACAGGUUAAUAUUCCUGUACUUGGUGUUACUGCGAAGGGGGGACGGAGAAGGCUAUGUUAGCCGGGCGACGGUUGUCCCGGUUUAAGCAUGUAGGCUGGUUGUCCAGGCAAAUCCGGAUAAUCAAGGCUGAGGUGUGAUGACGAGGCACUACGGUGCUGAAGUAACAAAUGCCCUGCUUCCAGGAAAAGCCUCUAAGCAUCAGGUAACAUCAAAUCGUACCCCAAACCGACACAGGUGGUCAGGUAGAGAAUACCAAGGCGCUUGAGAGAACUCGGGUGAAGGAACUAGGCAAAAUGGUGCCGUAACUUCGGGAGAAGGCACGCUGGUGUGUAGGUGAAGUCCCUGCGGAUGGAGCUGAGACCAGUCGAAGAUACCAGCUGGCUGCAACUGUUUAUUAAAAACACAGCACUGUGCAAACACGAAAGUGGACGUAUACGGUGUGACGCCUGCCCGGUGCCGGAAGGUUAAUUGAUGGGGUUAUCCGUAAGGAGAAGCUCUUGAUCGAAGCCCCGGUAAACGGCGGCCGUAACUAUAACGGUCCUAAGGUAGCGAAAUUCCUUGUCGGGUAAGUUCCGACCUGCACGAAUGGCGUAAUGAUGGCCAGGCUGUCUCCACCCGAGACUCAGUGAAAUUGAACUCGCUGUGAAGAUGCAGUGUACCCGCGGCAAGACGGAAAGACCCCGUGAACCUUUACUAUAGCUUGACACUGAACAUUGAGCCUUGAUGUGUAGGAUAGGUGGGAGGCUUUGAAGCGUGGACGCCAGUCUGCGUGGAGCCAACCUUGAAAUACCACCCUUUAAUGUUUGAUGUUCUAACGUUGGCCCCUGACCGGGGUUGCGGACAGUGUCUGGUGGGUAGUUUGACUGGGGCGGUCUCCUCCCAAAGCGUAACGGAGGAGCACGAAGGUUAGCUAAUCCUGGUCGGACAUCAGGAGGUUAGUGCAAUGGCAUAAGCUAGCUUGACUGCGAGCGUGACGGCGCGAGCAGGUGCGAAAGCAGGUCAUAGUGAUCCGGUGGUUCUGAAUGGAAGGGCCAUCGCUCAACGGAUAAAAGGUACUCCGGGGAUAACAGGCUGAUACCGCCCAAGAGUUCAUAUCGACGGCGGUGUUUGGCACCUCGAUGUCGGCUCAUCACAUCCUGGGGCUGAAGUAGGUCCCAAGGGUAUGGCUGUUCGCCAUUUAAAGUGGUACGCGAGCUGGGUUUAGAACGUCGUGAGACAGUUCGGUCCCUAUCUGCCGUGGGCGCUGGAGAAUUGAGGGGGGCUGCUCCUAGUACGAGAGGACCGGAGUGGACGCAUCACUGGUGUUCGGGUUGUCAUGCCAAUGGCACUGCCCGGUAGCUAAAUGCGGAAGAGAUAAGUGCUGAAAGCAUCUAAGCACGAAACUUGCCCCGAGAUGAGUUCUCCCUGAGAUUUUAAGUCUCCUGAAGGAACGUUGAAGACGACGACGUUGAUAGGCCGGGUGUGUAAGCGCAGCGAUGCGUUGAGCUAACCGGUACUAAUGAACCGUGAGGCUUAACCUU